rnacentral:rRNA from 1 species
CCCUCUGGGGCGCAGCAGGCGCCUCAAGUCGUCCUGGAAUAUGACAAUGACCACGAAAACGAUAGAGCCUAUAAAACUGUUGAAUAUCCAGCUUAAUGUAAAAAGUUCAAACCUCUUCGCCAGGGCAAAAACGAACAUGACAAUGACGAGCCCGAGCAAAAGCUGUAUGGCGCGCGUCCCUUUUAUGAGGACGAACACCCGGUAUAUGAUGAAGGCAACGAUCACGAUGUCGACUAUGUCCUGCCAGCGUAUCUCGGGUAUCAUGCGUCCAUCACCGCCUUGACCAUUGUGAGGACCUUUUUCGCCCCGGCCACAUCAUGGACCCGGAAAAUAUCGGCCCCGUUCAUGAAGGCGACGGCAAGCGUCGCGAGGGUGCCCUCAACCCUUUCCUCGAGGGGAGGGC